rnacentral:rRNA from 1 species
ACGAAGGGGGCUAGCGUUGUUCGGAAUCACUGGGCGUAAAGAGCACGUAGGUGGUUUGUUAAGUCAGGAGUGAAAGCCCAAGGCUCAACCUUGGAAUUGCUCUUGAUACUGGCGAACUAGAGUCUGGGAGAGGAGUGUGGAAUACCGAGUGUAGAGGUGAAAUUCGUAGAUAUUCGGUGGAACACCAGUGGCGAAGGCGACACUCUGGAACAUGACUGACACUGAGGUGCGAAAGCGUGGGGAGCAAACAGG